AGGACGAACGCUGGCGGCGUGCUUAACACAUGCAAGUGGAGCGACGAACCAGGCUUCGGCCUGGGGCAGAGCCGCGAACGGGUGAGUAACACGUGGGUAACCUGCCCCGAUGACCGGGACAACCCGAGGAAACUCGGGCUAAUACCGGAUGUGUCCUCCGGCCAUAAGGCCGCUGGGGAAAGGAAGCUUCGGCCUCCGCAUCGGGAUGGGCCCGCGGCCCAUUAGCUUGUUGGUGGGGUAACGGCCUACCAAGGCGACGACGGGUA
rnacentral:rRNA from 1 species